GAUGAACGCUGGCGGCGUGCCUAAUACAUGCAAGUCGAGCGAACGGACGAGAAGCUUGCUUCUCUGAUGUUAGCGGCGGACGGGUGAGUAACACGUGGAUAACCUACCUAUAAGGCUGGGAUAACUUCGGGAAACCGGAGCUAAUACCGGAUGAUAUUUUGAACCGCAUGGUUCAAAAGUGAAAGACGGUCUUGCUGUCACUUAUAGAUGGAUCCGCGCUGCAUUAGCUAGUUGGUAAGGUAACGGCUUACAAAGGCAACGAUGCAUAGCCGACCUGAGAGGGUGAUCGGCCACACUGGAACUGAGACACGGUCCAGACUCCUACGGGAGGCAGCAGUAGGGAAUCUUCCGCAAUGGGCGAAAGCCUGACGGAGCAACGCCGCGUGAGUGAUGAAGGUCUUCGGAUCGUAAAACUCUGUUAUUAGGGAAGAACAUAUGUGUAAGUAACUGUGCACAUCUUGACGGUACCUAAUCAGAAAGCCACGGCUAACUACGUG
rnacentral:rRNA from 1 species